AUUGUGUAACAGUGUAACAGUCAUUUAAGUCUUUGUUUAAUUAAUGUUGGUUAAGUUAUGAGAAGUUUAUUUUGAAAGUAAUUUUAUUUUGAAAAGACCGGAAGUUGUUUGCGCAAAUGCUGAAAAGACAGAAAAGAGAGACGCUGGACAGAGCAUGUUUUCACGCGAAGGAUACCACGCGUUGAUGAAAGCACACUAAGACAAACACCCAUCUCGGCAUGCAGCCAACGAGCACCUUCAAUGUGCUUCAGUUGUUCGGGGAAAUGCAGAAGGGCUUCAUCUGCUUUCUGCGCUUGCUGUGGACGACAUUAAAAUCUACGUUUGUUUGCCUUGGUAUCAGCCAGCUUCAGCAGAGACGACAUCCGGAAACCAAUGGCGCUGCCCGCAUAGCCACCCUGAGAUCAAAUAAACGUGUUGAGAUCAAAAGAUGGACGAGAACAAAGCAAAGUCGUCCGACACACGAUCUACUCACAGCAUUCAUGUAAUUCCCAGUCUUCAGCACCAAGCGAAUGACAGAAUGGAGGUUUUCACACUCUAACAGCUCUAAAAGAAGACAUAUGACGAUGUAAAAUAAAUCCUAAUUAACCCUUUAA